UACGUAGGUGGCAAGCGUUGUCCGGAUUUACUGGGUGUAAAGGGAGCGUAGGCGGCAAAGCAAGUCAGACGUGAAAUCCCUCGGCUCAACUGCGGGCGUGCUUUUGAAACUGCUUAGCUAGAGUACUGGAGGGGCAAGCGGAAUUCCUGGUGUAGCGGUGAAAUGCGUAGAUAUCAGGAAGAACACCGGAGGCGAAGGCGGCUUGCUGGACAGAUACUGACGCUGAGGCUCGAAGGCGUGGGGAGCAAAC
rnacentral:rRNA from 1 species